rnacentral:rRNA from 1 species
GUAGUCCACGCCAUAAACGAUGUGUGCUAGCUGUUGGGGCUCUUAGAGCUUCGAUGGCGCAGCUAACGCCUUAAGCACACCGCCUGGGGAGUACGGUCGCAAGAUUAAAACUCAAAGGAAUUGACGGGGACCCGCACAAGCGGUGGAGCAUGUUGUUUAAUUCGAAGCAACGCGAAGAACCUUACCUACGCUUGCCAUCCUGGUUGAGGCUUUUGGAGACAAGAGCCGUCAUUUAGUUGGACCAGUGACAGGUGCUGCAUGGCUGUCGUCAGCUCGUGUCGUGAGAUGUUGGGUUAAGUCCCGCAACGAGCGCAACCCUUGUCGUAUGUUGCCAUCAGGUAAUGCUGGGCACUCGUGCGAGACCGCCGGUGAUAAGCCGGA